GGCUUUUGUGGAAUGUAAAAAGUCUACGAAUAAGGACUGGGUAAGACUAGUGCCAGCCGCCGCGGUAAUACUAGCGGUCCAAGUCGCAGCCAUUCUUAUUGGGUCUAAAACAUCCGUAGCUUGCUUGAUAAGUUUUCUGUGAAAUCUCAUAUCUCAAGUAUAAGAAUUGUGGAAAAUACUGUCAAGCUAGAGACCGGGAGACGUAAAGAGUACGUCUAAAGUAGCGGUAAAAUGUGUUGAUCUUAGGCGGACUGACGAUAGCGAAGGCACUUUACGAGAACGGUUCUGACAGUAAGGGAUGAAGGCUAGGGGCGCAAAACGGAUUAGAUACCCGUGUAGUCCUAGCAGUAAACACUGCACACUAAACCUUGUGAUCUCUUCGAGAGAUUGCAGGGCUGCAGGGAAGCCGAAGAGUGUGCUACCUGGGAAGUAUAGUCGCAAGGCUGAAACUUAAAGGAAUUGGCGGGGAGACACUACAACGGGUGACGCGUGCGGUUCAAUUAGAUUAUACACCGUGAACCUCACCAGGAGCGACAGCAGAAUGAAGGUCAGUCUAAAGGGCUUACCUGACACGCUGAGAGGGGUUGCAUGGCCGACGUCAGCCUGUGCUGUGAGGCGAUCUGUUAAAUCAGAUAACAGGCAAGACCCACAUCUUUAUUUAC
rnacentral:rRNA from 1 species